UCGAGGGGUAGAAGUCUUCGGACUUUGAGACCGGCGCACGGGUGCGUAACGCGUAUGCAAUCUACCUUACACUAAGGGAUAGCCCAGAGAAAUUUGGAUUAAUACCUUAUAGUAUGUGACUGGGACAUCCCUAACACAUUAAAGAUUUAUCGGUGUAAGAUGAGCAUGCGUCCCAUUAGCUAGUUGGUGUGGUAACGGCAUACCAAGGCAAUGAUGGGUAGGGGUCCUGAGAGGGAGAUCCCCCACACUGGUACUGAGACACGGACCAGACUCCUACGGGAGGCAGCAGUGAGGAAUAUUGGUCAAUGGGCGCAAGCCUGAACCAGCCAUGCCGCGUGUAGGAUGACGCAUCUAUGGUGUGUAAACUACUUUUGUACAGGAAGAAACACUGCUACGUGUAGCAGCUUGACGGUACUGUAAGAAUAAGGAUCGGCUAACUCCGUGCCAGCAGCCGCGGUAAUACGGAGGAUCCAAGCAUUAUCCGGAAUCAUUGGGUUUAAAGGGUCCGUAGGCGGUUUUAUAAGUCAGUGGUGAAAUCCGGUAGCUCAACUAUCGAACGGCCAUUGAUACUGUAGAACUUGAAUGAUUGUGAAGUAACUAGAAUAUGUAGUGUAGCGGUGAAAUGCUUAGAUAUUACAUGGAAUACCCAUUGCGAAGGCAGGUUACUAACAAUUUAUUGACGCUGAUGGACG
rnacentral:rRNA from 1 species